rnacentral:tRNA from 1 species
AUUUAUAUAAUAUAAAAAUUAUAAUUGACUUCCAAUCAAUAAAUCUAUGCAAUAGUAUAAAUA